AACAGGUAAACAGAUAUAUACUCGGCUAAGUUGUGGAUUUUCAGUAGUUGAUCAACGAACGGAGUAUUUAAUUCUGUGAACAUGAUUUCGCAUAUAUUACUCUGGAUUGGGCUUUUUUUACACGCUAAUUCUCAAGAUGUUGACGAGUGUUCGAAGAAUCCCUGUGCGAAUGGAGGAAAAUGCAGGAAUACAGUAACGUCCUACACGUGCGUCUGUCCUAGUGGCUGGACUGGAAACCGAUGUGAUAAAGACAUUGACGAAUGUUGGAACGAUACAUGUUUUAACGGAGGCACAUGUCUGAACACACUGUGAAGUUUUGCGUGCAGUUGCUCUUAUGAAUGGAGUGGGACACUCUGUGAACAAGAUGUCAACGAGUGUUUGACGAGUCCUUGUAGAAAUGGUGGACUCUGCAUCAAUCUGAUGGGCUCCUUUUUUGUGACUGUCCUCCAACUUGGUUUGGAGAAAUUUGUGAAAGCCAAAGCCCGUAGAACCUAGCAGCCACUGAGUAAAAUCAUCUAAGGACUGAGAGUAUUCAUAGAGAAUGUUUAAUUUGAAACCUAUUUUAAAGGAAACUUUAAAUCAA